rnacentral:rRNA from 1 species
UAAGGAAUAUUGGUCAAUGGACGCAAGUCUGAACCAGCCAUGCCGCGUGAAGGAUGAAGGUCCUCUGGAUUGUAAACUUCUUUUAUCUGGGACGAAAACGGGAUUUUUAUCUCAAUUGACGGUACCAGAGGAAUAAGCACCGGCUAACUCCGUGCCAGCAGCCGCGGUAAUACGGAGGGUGCGAGCGUUAUCCGGAUUUACUGGGUUUAAAGGGUGCGUAGGUGGGCUUAUAAGUCAGUGGUGAAAUCUCCGAGCUUAACUUGGAAACUGCCGUUGNUACUAUAGUUCUUGAAUUAUCUGGAGGUAAGCGGAAUAUGUCAUGUAGCGGUGAAAUGCUUAGAUAUGACAUAGAACACCAAUUGCGAAGGCAGCUUACUACAUAUAAAUUGACGCUGAGGCACGAAAGCGUGGGGAUCAAACA